rnacentral:rRNA from 1 species
AGUGAACGCUGGCGAUAGGCCUAACACAUGCAAGUCGAACGGCAGCACAGUAAGAGCUUGCUCUUACGGGUGGCGAGUGGCGGGCGGGUGAGGAAUACAUCGGAAUCUACUUUUUCGUGGGGGAUACCGUAGGGAAACUUACGCUAUUACCCCUUACGACCACCGGGUGAAAGAAGGGGAUCUUCGGCCCUUGCGGGAUGGAAGGACCGAUUGUCGGAUUAGUUAGUUGGGGGGGUAAAGGCCCCCCAAGGCGACGAUCCGUAGCUGGUCUGAGAGGAUGAUCAGCCACACUGGAACUGAGACACGGUCCAGACUCCUACGGGAGGCAGCAGUGGGGAAUAUUGGACAAUGGGCGCAAGCCUGAUCCAGCCAUACCGCGUGGGUGAAGAAGGCCUUCGGGUUGUAAAGCCCUUUUGUUGGGAAAGAAAAGCAGCAGGUUAAUACCCCGCUGUUCUGACGGUACCCAAAGAAUAAGCACCGGCUAACUUCGUG